rnacentral:rRNA from 1 species
UACGUAGGGGGCCAGCGUUGUUCGGAAUUACUGGGUGUAAAGGGUUCGUAGGCGGUGUGGCAAGUCGGGAGUGAAAUCUCCCGGCUCAACCGGGAGGGUGCGCCGAAAACUGGAGGGCUAGAGUGCGGGAAGGGAGAGUAGAAUUCCUGGUGUAGCGGUGAAAUGCGUAGAUAUCAGGAGGAAUACCGGUGGUGUAGACGGCUCUCUGGACCGCGACUGACGCUGAGACACGAAAGCGUGGGGAGCAAACAGG